rnacentral:rRNA from 1 species
GAUCUUUAUUUUUAUUUUUUAUAAAUUAAAUAGAUUAAAAAAGUUUAUAAUUUAAUUAAAAAUUUUAUUGGGGUGAUAUUAAAAUUUAAUGAACUUUUAAUUUUUAUUACAUAAAUAUAUGAAAUAAUGAUCCAGUUUUAUUGAUUAAAAAUUUAAGUUACCUUAGGGAUAACAGCGUAAUUUUUUUUUAGAGUUCAUAUCGAAAAAAAAGAUUGC